CUUGGAGGAUCGUAUAGCGAGAGCUAGCUGCAUUAGCUUAGCGAAAGCUAAAUUGGUGCAGUAUUGUCUCGUCAAAUAAAGUUCUGGGUAGGUUAUGACGAUGACAUUUCCUAUCUGUGUGUCUUGACCAAAUUACGUGCCAGCAGUCGCGGUAAUACGUAGAAGACUAGUGUUAUUCAUCUUUAAUAGGUUUAAAGGGUACCUAGACGGUAAAUCAAGUCCAACAAGGAUACUAAUUUACUAGAGUUAAAUGUGAUGGGGCUAUAAAGUACUGGUUAGUGUAGAGAUGAAAUUCUAUCAUACAAUAUAUGGCACAGGCAAAGGCGAAGGCAUCUCCUAAUGUAAUAACUGACGUUGAGGGACGAAGGCAUCGUGUAGCAAAAAGGAUUAGAUACCCAAGUAGCUGUUGCAGAAAAUUAUGAAUGUCAUAGGAUGGAAACCUUUUUCUUUUUUUACGAUAAAAGCAAAAUAUAGAGUGAUCAGAAAACAGUUAAAAGGUAAUUUUUUUCUAUAAAUGAUAGUGUAAGCAUUCCACCUCAAGAGUAAUUUGGCAACAUUGGAACUGAAAUCAUUAGACCGUUUCUGAAACAAGUAGUGAAGUAUGUUGUUUAAUUUGAUGGCCCGCAAAAGACCUUACCACAAUUUGAAUAGAAACUUUUUUUAUACAAGCGCUGCACGGUUGUCUUCAGUUAAUGUCGUGAGACCUUGGUUAGUUCCAUUAAAUUAACGUAAACCCUUACUUUAUUUUUAUAUAGAGUAGUUCGCCGCUACAAUGGUUAUGAUAAAAGGGA
rnacentral:rRNA from 1 species